CGAGCGGUAAGGCCUUUCGGGGUACACGAGCGGCGAACGGGUGAGUAACACGUGGGUGAUCUGCCCUGCACUCUGGGAUAAGCUUGGGAAACUGGGUCUAAUACCGGAUAUGACUACAGCAUGCAUGUGUUGUGGUGGAAAGAUUUAUCGGUGCAGGAUGGGCCCGCGGCCUAUCAGCUUGUUGGUGGGGUAAUGGCCUACCAAGGCGACGACGGGUAGCCGACCUGAGAGGGUGACCGGCCACACUGGGACUGAGACACGGCCCAGACUCCUACGGGAGGCAGCAGUGGGGAAUAUUGCACAAUGGGCGGAAGCCUGAUGCAGCGACGCCGCGUGAGGGAUGAAGGCCUUCGGGUUGUAAACCUCUUUCAGCAGGGACGAAGCGUGAGUGACGGUACCUGCAGAAGAAGCACCGGCUAACUACGUGCCAGCAGCCGCGGUAAUACGUAGGGUGCGAGCGUUGUCCGGAAUUACUGGGCGUAAAGAGUUCGUAGGCGGUUUGUCGCGUCGUUUGUGAAAACCCGGGGCUCAACUUCGGGCUUGCAGGCGAUACGGGCAGACUUGAGUGUUUCAGGGGAGACUGGAAUUCCUGGUGUAGCGGUGAAAUGCGCAGAUAUCAGGAGGAACACCGGUGGCGAAGGCGGGUCUCUGGGAAACAACUGACGCUGAGGAACGAAAGCGUGGGUAGCAAACAGGAUUAGAUACCCUGGUAGUCCACGCCGUAAAC
rnacentral:rRNA from 1 species